GGCUACUUGGCGCAAUGGUAGCGCGUUUGGCUUCGAUUGCCUCCGUACCAAAAGGUUGCAGGUUCGAGUCCUGCAGUGGUCA
rfam:Schizophyllum commune H4-8 unplaced genomic scaffold SCHCOscaffold_16, whole genome shotgun sequence.